rnacentral:rRNA from 1 species
AGUGAACGCUGGCGGCGUGCCUAAUACAUGCAAGUCGAACGGAGUGGCGCACGGGUGAGUAAUAUAUAGCUAAUCUGCCCCUUGCUGGAGGACAACAGUUAGAAAUGACUGCUAAUACUCCAUAGCAAGGGAUGAGACUAUAUCGUAUCAACUAGUCGAUGGGGUAACGGCCUACCGAGGCUAUGACGCGUAACUGGUCUGAGAGGAUGAUCAGUCACAUUGGACCUGAGACACGGUCCAGACACCUCCGAGAGGCAGCAGUAGGGAAUAUUGCGCAAUGGGGGGAAACCUGGCGGUGCAUCGGCGCGUGGAGGAUGACACUUUUCGGAGCAUACGCUCCUUUUGUUAGGGAAACGGUACCUAACGAAUAAGCACCGGCUAACUCCGUGCCAGCAGCCGCGGUAAUAC